CUCACCAUAGUUUAUUUAAAACUUCGACUUGCAAAAUCGAAAAUGGAGUAUAGUUACAUCCUGGUGUGU
rnacentral:tRNA from 1 species